rnacentral:rRNA from 1 species
AACUAACAAGGAUUCCCUUAGUAACGGCGAGUGAAGCGGGAAAAGCUCAAAUUUGUAAUCUGGCCGUUCUGCGGUCCGAGUUGUAACCUAUAGAAGUGUUUUCUGUGCCCGGCCCCUUAUGAGUCUGUUGGAAUAUAGCGUCAAGGAGGGUGAGAACCCCGUUCGUGAUGGGUGUCCGGUGUGCUCUGUGAUACACUCUCUAAGAGUCGAGUUGUUUGGGAAUGCAGCUCUAAUUGGGUGGUAAAUUCCAUCUAAAGCUAAAUAUUGACGAGAGACCGAUAGCGAACAAGUACCGUGAGGGAAAGAUGAAAAGCACUUUGGAAAGAGAGUUAACAGUACGUGAAAUUGCUAUAAGGGAAACGCUUGAAGUCAGACAUGCUCCGUGCGUUCAGCCGAAAGGUGUAUUCGUAUGGUUGCAGGCUAGAGUCUGUUCUUGGGGUCGGAUAAGGGUUAGGGGAAUGUGGCCGGCUCGCCGGUGUUAUAGACCUUGGCUUGAUACGAUUCUGGGGACAGAGGACCGCAGCGCGCCUUCUUGGCAUUGGCUUUGGCCUUUUCCGCGCUAAGGAUUCUGGCUUAAUGGCUUUAAGCGACCCGUCUUGAACCACG